AAACUUUACAAUGCGAGAAAUCGUGAUAAGGGAACCCCGAGUGCCCGUAAAUUCGGGCUGUCCGCCAGUGCAAAUAGCUGGUGAAGAAAGGGCCGGGCAAGACCGGUGCCAGCCGCCGCGGUAAUACCGGCGGCUCGAGUGGUGGCCACUAUUACUGGGCUUAAAGCGUCCGUAGCUUGAUUGUUAAGUCUCUUGGGAAAUCCACCGGCUCAACCGAUGGGCGUUCAGGAGAAACUGGCAAUCUAGGGACCGGGAGAGGUGAGAGGUACUCCAGGGGUAGGAGUGAAAUCCUGUAAUCCUUGGGGGACCACCUGUGGCGAAGGCGUCUCACUAGAACGGCUCCGACAGUGAGGGACGAAAGCUGGGGGAGCAAACCGG
rnacentral:rRNA from 1 species